rnacentral:rRNA from 1 species
AGUGAACGCUGGCGGCAGGCCUAACACAUGCAAGUCGAGCGGCAGCACAGUAAGAGCUUGCGCUUACGGGUGGGGAGUGGCGGGCGAGGGAGGAAUACAUCGGAAUCUGCUUUUUCGUGGGGGAGAACGUAGGGGAACUUACGCUAAUACCGCAGACGACUUACGGGGGAAAGCAGGGGAUCUUCGGACCUUGCGUGAUUGAAUGAGGCGAUGUCGGAUUGGCUAGUUGGCGGGGUAAAGGCCCACCAAGGCGGCGAUCCGUAGCUGGUCUGAGAGGAUGAUCAGCCACACUGGAACUGAGACACGGUCCAGACUCCUACGGGAGGCAGCAGUGGGGAAUAUUGGACAAUGGGCGCAAGCCUGAUCCAGCCAUACCGCGUGAGUGAAGAAGGCCUUCGGGUUGUAAAGCCCUUUUGUUGGGAAGGAAGAGCAGCAGGUUAAUACCCCGCUGUUAUGACGGUACCCAAAGAAUAAGCACCGGCUAACUUCGUG